GACGAACGCUGGCGGCGUGCCUAAUACAUGCGAGUAGAACGCUGAAGAGAGGAGCUUGCUCUUCUUGGAUGAGUUGCGAACGGGUGAGUAACGCGUAGGUAACCUGCCUGGUAGCGGGGGAUAACUAUUGGAAACGAUGGCUAAUACCGCAUAAAAUGGAUUAUCGCAUGAUAAUCCAUUGAAAGGUGCAAAUGCAUCACUACCAGAUGGACCUGCGUUGUAUUAGCUAGUUGGUGGGGUAACGGCUCACCAAGGCGACGAUACAUAGCCGACCUGAGAGGGUGAUAGGCCACACUGGGACUGAGACACGGCCCAGACUCCUACGGGAGGCAGCAGUAGGGAAUCUUCGGCAAUGGACGGAAGUCUGACCGAGCAACGCCGCGGGAGUGAAGAAGGGUUUCGGAUCGUAAAGCUCUGUUGUAAGAGAAGAACGAGGGUGGGAGUGGAAAGUUCACACUGUGACGGUAUCUUACCAGAAAGGGACGGCUAACUACGUG
rnacentral:rRNA from 1 species